UACGUAGGGGGCGAGCGUUGUCCGGAAUUAUUGGGCGUAAAGAGCGUGUAGGCGGUUCGGUAAGUCUGCCGUGAAAACCUGGGGCUCAACCCUGGGCGUGCGGUGGAUACUGCCGGGCUAGAGGGUGGUAGAGGCGAGUGGAAUUCCCGGUGUAGCGGUGAAAUGCGCAGAUAUCGGGAGGAACACCGGUGGCGAAAGCGGCGCGCUGGACCUCUACUGACGCUGAGGCGCGAAAGCCAGGGGAGCAAACGGG
rnacentral:rRNA from 1 species